AAUGGGCCCUUCAUUUAGCUGACUGAACCAACAAAAGAGAAGUUUGAGACAGAAAAUGAAUAUAGAUCCAGCUGCAGCAAUUAGAGGGGAAAUCGAUAGAACAUCAUCAACAGCAUCAGACCCGUGAUUGUGAGGCCUGCUGCACUCACGAGGAAGAAAUGAAAGAGCUUACACAAGCCUGGACAACAGAAUGCGGCUACAAUACCACAGUCCCGGAGUCCAGGCUGACUUCUUUAAUGCUCCCUUGCUCCGCAUUUGACCCAGUG
rnacentral:lncRNA from 1 species